rnacentral:rRNA from 1 species
GAUGAACGCUAGCGACAGGCUUAACACAUGCAAGUCGAGGGGCAGCACAGGUAGCAAUACCGGGUGGCGACCGGCGCACGGGUGAGUAACGCGUAUGCAACUUGCCUAUCAGAGGGGGAUAACCCGGCGAAAGUCGGACUAAUACCGCAUGAAGCAGGGAUCCCGCAUGGGAAUAUUUGCUAAAGAUUCAUCGCUGAUAGAUAGGCAUGCGUUCCAUUAGGCAGUUGGCGGGGUAACGGCCCACCAAACCGACGAUGGAUAGGGGUUCUGAGAGGAAGGUCCCCCACAUUGGUACUGAGACACGGACCAAACUCCUACGGGAGGCAGCAGUGAGGAAUAUUGGUCAAUGGCCGAGAGGCUGAACCAGCCAAGUCGCGUGAGGGAUGAAGGUUCUAUGGAUCGUAAACCUCUUUUAUAAGGGAAUAAAGUGCGGGACGUGUCCCGUUUUGUAUGUACCUUAUGAAUAAGGAUCGGCUAACUCCGUGCCAGCAGCCGCGGUAAUACGGAGGAUCCGAGCGUUAUCCGGAUUUAUUGGGUUUAAAGGGUGCGUAGGCGGCCUUUUAAGUCAGCGGUGAAAGUCUGUGGCUCAACCAUAGAAUUGCCGUUGAAACUGGGGGGCUUGAGUAUGUUUGAGGCAGGCGGAAUGCGUGGUGUAGCGGUGAAAUGCAUAGAUAUCACGCAGAACCCCGAUUGCGAAGGCAGCCUGCCAAGCCAUGACUGACGCUGAUGCACGAAAGCGUGGGGAUCAAACAGGAUUAGAUACCCUGGUAGUCCACGCAGUAAACGAUGAUCACUAGCUGUUUGCGAUACACUGUAAGCGGCACAGCGAAAGCGUUAAGUGAUCCACCUGGGGAGUGCGCCGGCAACGGUGAAACUCAAAGGAAUUGACGGGGGCCCGCACAAGCGGAGGAACAUGUGGUUUAAUUCGAUGAUACGCGAGGAACCUUACCCGGGUUUGAACGCAUUCGGACCGAGGUGGAAACACCUUUUCUAGCAAUAGCCGUUUGCGAGGUGCUGCAUGGUUGUCGUCAGCUCGUGCCGUGAGGUGUCGGCUUAAGUGCCAUAACGAGCGCAACCCUUGCCACUAGUUACUAACAGGUAAAGCUGAGGACUCUGGUGGGACUGCCAGCGUAAGCUGCGAGGAAGGCGGGGAUGACGUCAAAUCAGCACGGCCCUUACAUCCGGGGCGACACACGUGUUACAAUGGCGUGGACAAAGGGAAGCCACCUGGCGACAGGGAGCGAAUCCCCAAACCACGUCUCAGUUCGGAUCGGAGUCUGCAACCCGACUCCGUGAAGCUGGAUUCGCUAGUAAUCGCGCAUCAGCCAUGGCGCGGUGAAUACGUUCCCGGGCCUUGUACACACCGCCCGUCAAGCCAUGGGAGCCGGGGGUACCUGAAGUCCGUAACCGCGAGGAUCGGCCUAGGGUAAAACUGGUG